rnacentral:rRNA from 1 species
UGGGGAAUAUUGGACAAUGGGCGCAAGCCUGAUCCAGCAAUGCCGCGUGUGUGAAGAAGGCCUUCGGGUUGUAAAGCACUUUUAUCAGGAGCGAAACGCUGUCGGCUAAUACCCGGCGGAACUGACGGUACCUGAGGAAUAAGCACCGGCUAACUUCGUGCCAGCAGCCGCGGUAAUACGAAGGGUGCAAGCGUUAAUCGGAAUUACUGGGCGUAAAGCGUGCGUAGGCGGUUUCUUAAGUCUGCUGUGAAAUCCCCGGGCUCAACCUGGGAAUGGCAGUGGAUACUGGGAGGCUAGAGUGUGUCAGAGGGUGGUGGAAUUCCCGGUGUAGCGGUGAAAUGCGUAGAGAUCGGGAGGAACAUCAGUGGCGAAGGCGGCCACCCGGGACAACACUGACGCUGAGGCACGAAAGCGUGGGGAGCAAACAGGAUUAGAUACCCUGGUAGUCCACGCCCUAAACGAUGCGAACUGGAUGUUGGUCUCAACUCGGAGAUCAGUGUCGAAGCUAACGCGUUAAGUUCGCCGCCUGGGGAGUACGGUCGCAAGACUGAAACUCAAAUGAAUU